CUCCAGGGAGGAUUAGAAAUGAUCAUCAGGAAUCUUGGCAUUAAUUUAACCUUCCCCGACUGUAAUUAGAUACAACUGUUAUGUUAACAUUUUAAUAUCUGACGUUUCAAGUAAGUUACUAGGAAGUAACUUGAAAGUUAAUAUAUUAAAUUGUAUUUGGCACAGCUUCGCGCAGCUACACCCCUCUUUUCAGUGGCGGUUGUCCAAUCAGAUCAAGUUGUUACCCUGAUCUUAUCGGACAAUUUGGCACAUUUCGCUG
rnacentral:lncRNA from 1 species